UUCAGUUAAAUGUAGAAUUGC
rnacentral:piRNA from 1 species